rnacentral:rRNA from 1 species
UUAAGCGACUAAGCGUACACGGUGGAUGCCCUGGCAGUCAGAGGCGAUGAAGGACGUGCUAAUCUGCGAUAAGCGUCGGUAAGGUGAUAUGAACCGUUAUAACCGGCGAUUUCCGAAUGGGGAAACCCAGUGUGAUUCGUCACACUAUCAUUAACUGAAUCCAUAGGUUAAUGAGGCGAACCGGGGGAACUGAAACAUCUAAGUACCCCGAGGAAAAGAAAUCAACCGAGAUUCCCCCAGUAGCGGCGAGCGAACGGGGAGGAGCCCAGAGCCUGAAUCAGUGUGUGUGUUAGUGGAAGCGUCUGGAAAGGCGUGCGAUACAGGGUGACAGCCCCGUACACAAAAAUGCACAUAUUGUGAGCUCGAUGAGUAGGGCGGGACACGUGGUAUCCUGUCUGAAUAUGGGGGGACCAUCCUCCAAGGCUAAAUACUCCUGACUGACCGAUAGUGAACCAGUACCGUGAGGGAAAGGCGAAAAGAACCCCGGCGAGGGGAGUGAAAAAGAACCUGAAACCGUGUACGUACAAGCAGUGGGAGCCUCUUUUAUGGGGUGACUGCGUACCUUUUGUAUAAUGGGUCAGCGACUUAUAUUCUGUAGCAAGGUUAACCGAAUAGGGGAGCCGAAGGGAAACCGAGUCUUAACUGGGCGUUAAGUUGCAGGGUAUAGACCCGAAACCCGGUGAUCUAGCCAUGGGCAGGUUGAAGGUUGGGUAACACUAACUGGAGGACCGAACCGACUAAUGUUGAAAAAUUAGCGGAUGACUUGUGGCUGGGGGUGAAAGGCCAAUCAAACCGGGAGAUAGCUGGUUCUCCCCGAAAGCUAUUUAGGUAGCGCCUCGUGAAUUCAUCUCCGGGGGUAGAGCACUGUUUCGGCAAGGGGGUCAUCCCGACUUACCAACCCGAUGCAAACUGCGAAUACCGGAGAAUGUUAUCACGGGAGACACACGGCGGGUGCUAACGUCCGUCGUGAAGAGGGAAACAACCCAGACCGCCAGCUAAGGUCCCAAAGUCAUGGUUAAGUGGGAAACGAUGUGGGAAGGCCCAGACAGCCAGGAUGUUGGCUUAGAAGCAGCCAUCAUUUAAAGAAAGCGUAAUAGCUCACUGGUCGAGUCGGCCUGCGCGGAAGAUGUAACGGGGCUAAACCAUGCACCGAAGCUGCGGCAGCGACACUAUGUGUUGUUGGGUAGGGGAGCGUUCUGUAAGCCUGUGAAGGUGUACUGUGAGGUAUGCUGGAGGUAUCAGAAGUGCGAAUGCUGACAUAAGUAACGAUAAAGCGGGUGAAAAGCCCGCUCGCCGGAAGACCAAGGGUUCCUGUCCAACGUUAAUCGGGGCAGGGUGAGUCGACCCCUAAGGCGAGGCCGAAAGGCGUAGUCGAUGGGAAACAGGUUAAUAUUCCUGUACUUGGUGUUACUGCGAAGGGGGGACGGAGAAGGCUAUGUUGGCCGGGCGACGGUUGUCCCGGUUUAAGCGUGUAGGCUGGUUUUCCAGGCAAAUCCGGAAAAUCAAGGCUGAGGCGUGAUGACGAGGCACUACGGUGCUGAAGCAACAAAUGCCCUGCUUCCAGGAAAAGCCUCUAAGCAUCAGGUAACAUCAAAUCGUACCCCAAACCGACACAGGUGGUCAGGUAGAGAAUACCAAGGCGCUUGAGAGAACUCGGGUGAAGGAACUAGGCAAAAUGGUGCCGUAACUUCGGGAGAAGGCACGCUGAUAUGUAGGUGAAGCGACUUGCUCGUGGAGCUGAAAUCAGUCGAAGAUACCAGCUGGCUGCAACUGUUUAUUAAAAACACAGCACUGUGCAAACACGAAAGUGGACGUAUACGGUGUGACGCCUGCCCGGUGCCGGAAGGUUAAUUGAUGGGGUCAGCGCAAGCGAAGCUCUUGAUCGAAGCCCCGGUAAACGGCGGCCGUAACUAUAACGGUCCUAAGGUAGCGAAAUUCCUUGUCGGGUAAGUUCCGACCUGCACGAAUGGCGUAAUGAUGGCCAGGCUGUCUCCACCCGAGACUCAGUGAAAUUGAACUCGCUGUGAAGAUGCAGUGUACCCGCGGCAAGACGGAAAGACCCCGUGAACCUUUACUAUAGCUUGACACUGAACAUUGAGCCUUGAUGUGUAGGAUAGGUGGGAGGCUUUGAAGUGUGGACGCCAGUCUGCAUGGAGCCGACCUUGAAAUACCACCCUUUAAUGUUUGAUGUUCUAACGUUGACCCGUGAUCCGGGUUGCGGACAGUGUCUGGUGGGUAGUUUGACUGGGGCGGUCUCCUCCUAAAGAGUAACGGAGGAGCACGAAGGUUGGCUAAUCCUGGUCGGACAUCAGGAGGUUAGUGCAAUGGCAUAAGCCAGCUUGACUGCGAGCGUGACGGCGCGAGCAGGUGCGAAAGCAGGUCAUAGUGAUCCGGUGGUUCUGAAUGGAAGGGCCAUCGCUCAACGGAUAAAAGGUACUCCGGGGAUAACAGGCUGAUACCGCCCAAGAGUUCAUAUCGACGGCGGUGUUUGGCACCUCGAUGUCGGCUCAUCACAUCCUGGGGCUGAAGUAGGUCCCAAGGGUAUGGCUGUUCGCCAUUUAAAGUGGUACGCGAGCUGGGUUUAGAACGUCGUGAGACAGUUCGGUCCCUAUCUGCCGUGGGCGCUGGAGAACUGAGGGGGGCUGCUCCUAGUACGAGAGGACCGGAGUGGACGCAUCACUGGUGUUCGGGUUGUCAUGCCAAUGGCACUGCCCGGUAGCUAAAUGCGGAAGAGAUAAGUGCUGAAAGCAUCUAAGCACGAAACUUGCCCCGAGAUGAGUUCUCCCUGACCCUUUAAGGGUCCUGAAGGAACGUUGAAGACGACGACGUUGAUAGGCCGGGUGUGUAAGCGCAGCGAUGCGUUGAGCUAACCGGUACUAAUGAACCGUGAGGCUUAACCUU